GGACCCGUCUUGAAACACGGACCAAGGAGACCUGCAUGUGUGCUAGUCAUUGAGACUAUACAAAAAACUGAAAGGCGCAACGAAAGUGAAGGCGUGCGCUAGUCGCGCGCUCAGGGAGGAUGGAGCGUCGGUCUAGAUCGAUCUCUCGCACUCCCGAGGCGUCUCGUUUCCAAUCCGUGAAUGCAGGCGCGCUCUGAGCACAGAUGCUGGGACCCGAAAGAUGGUGAACUAUGCA
rnacentral:rRNA from 3 species